UACGGAGGGGGCUAGCGUUGUUCGGAAUUACUGGGCGUAAAGCGCACGUAGGCGGCUUUGUAAGUUAGAGGUGAAAGCCCGGGGCUCAACUCCGGAAUUGCCUUUAAGACUGCAUCGCUAGAAUUGUGGAGAGGUGAGUGGAAUUCCGAGUGUAGAGGUGAAAUUCGUAGAUAUUCGCAAGAACACCAGUGGCGAAGGCGGCUCACUGGCCCGGUACUGACGCUGAGGUGCGAAAGCGUGGGGAGCAAACAGG
rnacentral:rRNA from 1 species